UACGUAGGGUGCGAGCGUUGUCCGGAAUUAUUGGGCGUAAAGGGCUCGUAGGCGGUUUGUCGCGUCGGGAGUGAAAACCAGGUGCUUAACACCUGGCUUGCUUUCGAUACGGGCAGACUAGAGGUAUGCAGGGGAGAACGGAAUUCCUGGUGUAGCGGUGAAAUGCGCAGAUAUCAGGAGGAACACCGGUGGCGAAGGCGGUUCUCUGGGAAUAUCCUGACGCUGAGGAGCGAAAGUGUGGGGAGCGAACAGG
rnacentral:rRNA from 1 species